UGCCCGGUGGUGUAAUGGUAACACUACGGAUUUUGGUUCCGUCAUUCUAGGUUCGAAUCCUAGCCGGGUAG
rnacentral:tRNA from 1 species